CCAUCACCCUCGCUGCCUUCCUGCAUCUUUCGGACCUGCUUAGGUUAGUUCUGGAACUCCUCUCUUUCUUGUUCUUCUUCCAUUUUUUAUCCUUCACGUUAUGCCCGUUCGGUUUCUCCAUGAACGCUUUGUUUCUUAUUUUUUUCAAUUUUUUUGAGAUUUUUUAAGGUUUUCUCUUGAUUCAAAAUAUCCUCCAACACUUCUUCCUCU
rnacentral:lncRNA from 1 species